rnacentral:rRNA from 1 species
UGGGGAAUAUUGCACAAUGGAGGGAACUCUGAUGCAGCGACGCCGCGUGAGUGAUGAAGGAAUUCGUUUCGUAAAACUCUGUUCUAUGGGAAGAAAAGGACUGUACCAUAGGAGAAAGCUCCGGCUAAAUACGUGCCAGCAGCCGCGGUAAUACGUAUGGAGCGAGCGUUGUCCGGAAUUAUUGGGCGUAAAGGGUGCGCAGGCGGCUUUACAAGUUGGAUGUGAAAUAUUGUGGCUCAACCACAAACGUGCAUCCAAAACUGCAAAGCUUGAGUUAAGGAGAGGUAAGUGGAAUUCCUGGUGUAGCGGUGGAAUGCGUAGAUAUCAGGAGGAAUACCGGUGGCGAAGGCGACUUACUGGACUUAAACUGACGCUGAGGCGCGAAAGCGUGGGGAGCAAACAGG